rnacentral:rRNA from 1 species
AUGAACGCUAGCGAUAGGCUUAACACAUGCAAGUCGAGGGGCAGCAUGGUCUUAGCUUGCUAAGACUGAUGGCGACCGGCGCACGGGUGCGUAACGCGUAUGCAACUUGCCUCACAGAGGGGGAUAACCCGUCGAAAGACGGACUAAUACCGCGUACACUUGGGAUAGGGCAUCCUGACCCAAGGAAAUGAAAUUCGCUGUGAGAUAGGCAUGCGUCCCAUUAGCUAGUUGGUGAGGUAACGGCUCACCAAGGCGACGAUGGGUAGGGGAACUGAGAGGUUGAACCCCCACACUGGUACUGAGACACGGACCAGACUCCUACGGGAGGCAGCAGUGAGGAAUAUUGGUCAAUGGGCGAGAGCCUGAACCAGCCAAGUCGCGUGAAGGAUGACUGUCUUAUGGAUUGUAAACUUCUUUUAUACGGGAAUAACAAGAGUCACGUGUGGCUCCCUGCAUGUACCGUAUGAAUAAGCAUCGGCUAACUCCGUG